UUUUAGCUGCCGGGCUGAGUCUCUGCAAAAUUGUAAAGCAGAAUUUUGGGUCCUCCCCAUCCUCUGUUACUGCACUGCGUCCACCCUCUGCUCUCCAAUUUUUUUCCUCUGUCUCUGUCUUUAUUUUUGUUCUGCACUUUUUAUCUCCCUCUCUUUACCCCCUCCAAAGAGUACAUAUACAGCUUGAAAAUGAAUACCAUUGCAUCUUGUGACUUAAAGGUCAUCCAGACCCAUCCUUUCACUGCUGCUUGAACAACAUGCUUAACACGUAGUGCUGCAGUCACUGCUGGGACUACCAAAAGGUAAUCCUUCAUCAAACAACAAAACUCGUCAUUCUUGGUCUCCUUAAGAACACUCAGUUUUGUUUUCAUAGAUAUUGGAGGGCGUAGAGGAAGAAAGUGAAUCAUCAUAUUCAAUUUUUCUAAAUACAAGGUACAGAACUGUCAUUUUUGUCUGAGAUGUGAGCCUCAGUGUCAGAUUAAGAGAAUGGAAUGCAUAUGUUGGAACUGGAGGACUUCUUGCCUAAUUUAAGAAAGGUCUCUUCGCGCUCCAGAUGAAUCUUAGGAGUGAUUUCUCAAGUUCUAUGAGAACCUUGGACUACUGCAGAUUACUGUGCUGGUUCAAAGGGAGACUCAGGAACACUUCACCCAAACAGAAGAUCUCAGCAGGCUCCAGUCAGUGUGGUGAGUUUUCCCCUAAAAUAGAAGUCUGCAAUGGGUAAUUAGGAGUAGAAGUGAAAAUCCCUCCUACUGAAAGACCUUGACAAACAUGGCAAGAAAGUGAAUGUUCCCCUCCUCCACACAGAGAACAUCAGACAGGUUGAAGAGUAUGCCAAUAAGGCCUCCCCUAACUUGGAGAAAAUUAAGGGCUUAUGAGAUUCCCCCCCAGUGACACAGUAGGGCCUCACAUGACACAAACACUAUAGACUUGGAGAUAUGAUGGCAUGCAACAACUUGAAUACAUAUCAAAAGCAGGAACUAAGAGUUGGCCUACAUCAAUACUUCUAGGCUAGUUAGCUUAGGACGAAUGUAGGACUAACACAAUACACAACAGGCCCUGCAGGAAAAAUUCAGGUGACUGGAUCUCCUCUUCAUUGUGGUACUCAGCAAUUGGACAAACAUCAACCACAUACUAAGACCCUAAAAUUCACACUAUGGACAGUUGAGAUUGCUGUGAGUGAAAGACUAAGUAUUUACCCAAAAGGUGAAAAUGACAAAAUGAAAAGGCAAAAUGCAAUCUCAAACAUCUAGUCCAUCAAGAGCAAGUACAGACAACAUUGAAAUGGAGGACUUUAAAAGUCAUAUAUCAGAAAUCUCUGAAAAGAUAGUAAAUGAAGUAAAGAAAAAAUCCAUGAGGCUAUAGAGGAAAGCAAAUUAGAAAUAAUGUCAUACAUAAAGAGAGAAAUAACAACCUUAGUAAACAAGUUACUCAACAUAGCUAGAUAAGAGACAGAUAAAAAAUCCAGGAUCAUGGAAAAAUGAUUGAAACUUUGAAUAAACAAUGUAGAAAGCAAGCAGAAUCCUUGAAACAAAUUCAAAGAGAUAUCCAAGAAACAAAAAAAAAUUCUUCUGAAAGGUAGCAAAACCAUUUAAAUAAACCUGAUGAUAGAAUUUCAGGCCUUUAGGACAGGAUUGCAGAUAGUGAUCAUGAAAAACAACAAAGCACCAUCAAAUGACAAUCCAUCAGCUCAAGAUGAUGCCAAGAAAAACAAUCUAAGUCUAAUAUGCAUCAAUGAAGAUGUAGGAAAUAACACAAACCACAUAACUAAACUAUUCACAGAAUAAAUAGCAGAAAAUUUCCCAAACAUGGGGAAAAAUUUGAUAUGCAGAUAAAUGAGUCAUAUAGCCUGGCAAACAAUCACAACCAACAUAAAUCUAAACCCAGACAUAUAAUAAUUAAGAUCCCAGACAUAUAGCAUAAAAACAUUAUACUAAAAGCUCUUAGAGAAAAGACACAACUUACCUAUCAAAGAAUGCCCAUUAGACGCAUGGCAGACUUUUCAGCACAAACAUUCAGGUUAAGACGAGCUUGGAGUGAAGUAUUUCAAGCCUUAAAAGAAAACAAUUUUCAACCCAGACUGAUGUACCCAGAAAAAAUUUAAUUGAAAUUUAAUGGAGAAAGAAGAUAUUUCCAUGGCAAAGAACAACUGAAGAAAUUCAUAUCCACCAUACCAACUCUUGAAAGAGUACUGCAAGACAAGCUAGAUAGAGAUAAAAAUGCCCACAAUCUCGAGAACAACAACAGAAAGAAACCACCAGACUGGACAAGAAAUUAAACAAGGAAGAAAAGCAGGAAACCAACAACAGGAACACAACAUGGUAAAGUCAAGCUAGUACACAUCAGUGAUAUCCAUGCAUGUAAAUGGGUUCAAUUCAUCUAUCAAAAUAAAUCGCUUGACAGAAUGCAUCAAGAAACAGGCUCUCACAAUAUGCUGUGUGCAAGAAACGCAUCUGACUCAAAAAGAAACUUAUAGAUUAAAAGUCAAAAGAUGAAAAACAGUAUUCCAUGGAACAGAAAUGCAGAAAAAAGCAUGGGUAGGUAUUCUGUUUGCAGACAAAGGGAACUUCUAACCUAAAAUUAUUAAAAGACAUAAAGAAUUUCACUACAUACUUGUAAGUGGAAAACUACCAGAGGAAGAACUAACAAUUAUAAGUAUAUAUGCCCCAAAUAAAGGAGCACCCAACUAUGUAAGACAAAUACUAGAACACAAUUGAAAACUAAACACCCCACUGUCACAAAGAGAUAGAUCAAGUAGACAAAAACUCAGCAAAGUUAUACCAGAACUGAAUCAUACCUGUGAGUGAAUGGACUUAGUGGAUAUUUACAGUGUUCCUCUCAACCACAUCAGAAUAUACAUUCUUCUCAAUUGUACAUGGGAUAUUUUCCAAAAUAGACCAUAUAUUAACCAAAAAAGCAUUGUUAAGUAAAUGCAAAGGGAGUGAAAUUAUCCCAUGCAUAAUAUCUGAUGAUAGUGCACUAAAACUGGAAAUCAAUGGCAAAAAUCCCUGAAAAACCUGCAUAAAUACAUGGAAAUUAAUUAAUAACCUUCUGAAUAACCAGUGGGUUACAGAUGAAAUUAAAGAACAAAUAAAACAAUACCUAUAUUACAAUAUAAAUGCAGAUACAGCAUACCAUAACUUAUGAGAUAUAAUGAAAGCAGUCCUAAGAGGAAAAUAUGCAGCAAUAGAGUCACAUCAAGAAAAUGGAACAAGCACAAAUAAAUAACUUAAUGCCACAUCUCAAGCUUCUAGAGAAGGAAGAGUGAGUCAAGCUAAAGCUUGUAGAAGAGAGGAAAUUGUAAAGAUCAGAGCAGAAAUUAAUGAAAUUGAAACUAAAAAAACACAAGAAAUUAAUGAAUUAUGGAGCUGUCUUUUUUGAAAAUAAGCAAAAUUGGUAAACCUCUAGCCAACCUUAUCAAGAAAAAGAAAGAAAAAGCACAUUCCACACAAUAAGGAUUGAAGAGAGGGAAAUUGUUAGAGAUUCCAUGGAAAUUCUAAAGAUCCUGAACACCUACUUUGAAAAUCUCUACUCAUAUAAGUUGGAAAACACAGAGGAAAUGGACAGAUUUGUAGAAAUAUAUGAACUAUGAAAGAUCAAUGAAGAAGUUGCAAUAAUUCUGAAUAAUCCAGUGUCAGCUACCCAAAUUUUUAAAAAUGAUUAAAAACUUGUCAACAAAGAAAAGCCAAGGUCCUGAUGUAUUCAUGGUUGAAUUCUACAAGAUUUUUAGAGAAGAUUUAAUGGCAAUGCUCCUUAAACUCAUAAAUGAACUUGAAAAGACAAGCAGUCUUCCCUAAUUCAUUCUUGGAGGCAAGUAUCACUCUGAUACCAAAACCAGAGAAAGAUCCAACCAAAAAAAUGAACUAUAGACCAGUCUCAUUGAAGAACAUUGAUGCAAAGAUUCUCACUAAAAUAUUGGCAAACAAAAUGCAACAAAUCAUCAAGAAGAUUAUACACCACUGCCAAAUGGGAUUUAUUCCAGGAAUGCAUGGAUGAUUUAACAUAGGCAAAUCAAUAAAUGCAAUAUAUCACAUCAACAGAGCCCCCCAAAAUCAUAUGAUCAUCUCAAUAGAUGUAGAUAAAGCUUUUAAUAAAGUCCAACAUCUAUUCAUGAUAGAAACCCUAUGGAAACUAAGAAUAGAUGGUAUGUACCUCAAUCUCAUAAAGACCAUUUAUAACAAACCAACAACCACCAUUAUACUAAAUGGUCAAAAACUGAAAGCCUUCACUCUAAAAUCAGGAACAAGACAAGGAUGUCCACUAUCGUCACUCCUAUUCAAUAUGGUUCUGGAAGUAUUAGUCGGAGCAACCAGACAAGAGGGAGUAAUAAGAGGAAUAAAAAUAGGAAAAGAAGAAAUUAUAUUACCAUUAUUUGCAGAUGAUCUCAUACUCUACAUAGAAGACCCCAAAAACUCCAUUAAAAGACUACUACAAGUAUAAACAAAUUCACCAGCAUAGAUGCAUACAAAGUCAACACACAAAAAGCUUUAGCAUUCCUGUACACAAAAA